rnacentral:tRNA from 3 species
GUGGCGUUGGGCCGCGAAUAGUCGGGCUGCGUCGUGAAGCCGACGUUGACCGCGUUGGUGUCGGUGACGUUCAGCUUGUCGACGCUGCC